rnacentral:lncRNA from 1 species
UCCUAAAAUUAAACUAAACCUAAACCUAAAACUAAAAAAAUAGAAAAAGGAAAAAACUAAAUCUAAACCUAAAACUAAACUAAAUCUAAACCUAAAACUAAACUAAAACUAAACCUAUAAACCUAAAACUAAUCCUAAAACUAAAACUAAAUCUAAACUAAACAUAAACCUAAAACUAAAAAAACAGAAAAAAGGAAAAAAAGGAAGCAGAGACUCACCUGGGUGG